UACCAGCACCCCCGAGUGGUCGGGACGAUUAUUGGGCCUAAAGCAUCCGUAGCCGGCCUUACAAGUCCUCCGUUAAAUCCAGCUGCUUAACAGAUGGGCUGCGGAGGAUACUAUAAGACUAGGAGGCAGGAGAGGCAAGCGGUACUCAGUGGGGUAGGGGGUAAAAAUCCGUUGAUCCAUUGAAGACCACCAGUGGCGAAGGCGGCUUGCCAGAAUGCGCUC
rnacentral:rRNA from 1 species